rnacentral:rRNA from 1 species
GAGUUUGAUCAUGGCUCAGGAUGAACGCUGGCGGCGUGCUUAACACAUGCAAGUCGAACGAAGCGCCUUAUUUGAUUUUCUUCGGAACUGAAGAUUUGGUGACUGAGUGGCGGACGGGUUGAGUAACGCGUGGGGUAACCUGCCCUGUACAGGGGGAUAACAAUCAGAAAUGACUGCUAAUACCGCAUAAGACCACAGCACCGCAUGGUGCAGGGGUAAAAACUCCGGUGGUACAGGAUGGACCCGCGUCUGAUUAGCUGGUUGGUGAGGUAACGGCUCACCAAGGCGACGAUCAGUAGCCGGCUUGAGAGAGUGAACGGCCACAUUGGGACUGAGACACGGCCCAAACUCCUACGGGAGGCAGCAGUGGGGAAUAUUGCACAAUGGGGGAAACCCUGAUGCAGCAACGCCGCGUGAGUGAAGAAGUAUUUCGGUAUGUAAAGCUCUAUCAGCAGGGAAGAAAGUGACGGUACCUGACUAAGAAGCCCCGGCUAACUACGUGCCAGCCGCCGCGGU